GAUAUGCUAGUUUAAAGAAAACAUUAAAUUGUAAAUUUAAAAUUAUUCUUUGCAUGUUAAAUGUAUAUUU
rnacentral:tRNA from 1 species